UGUUUGAGCUAAUUCUGAAACCCGAAAAUAGCAAGUAGUACAAUGAAGGAGAUAUACUGAGCCAACAAAUAAAGAUACUGAAUAAACAUUCGACAACAGCAAAAAA